GAGAAAAGGUUUAAUGAAAAAAGUUGAGCGAGGAAAUAACUAAGAUGUUGGUAAAUGUAUUAAAAGUGAAAAAACGACAAGUUUGGCAGAUAGCUAUAUAACGUAAACUCACCCCAUUCCGUACAAAUGUGCGCCACCGCAACAUUCAAACGAGGCUACAAAGAAAACUAAUGGGACUGUGUUGACUUCAAAAUUGGGGGUGUGAACUAGGUUUCUAUUCAAGCAUUGAUCGACAUGGUAAUGGCUCUCUGGUAUUGGAGAAAAGUUGAAAAAACGGAACCUCCGUUACAUCGUGACGUGUCAUGUCUUAAUGUACAGCACGCAUAAAGCAACUAUUUCUGUCUUACAAUCUCUCUCCACCAGGUGUAGCACUUCUCUCAUCAUUUAAAAACAAGAAAUGGACAGUGACGGGGGUAAGGGGGAUACCUAGUCAUUUUUUGCGUCAUCAUUGCAUGUAAUCCUCAUUCUCAAACCCGCUGUUUACUUCUAAGAUCACUUUAGCACCGCCCUAAAAACCCAAUUAUAAUUCAACACAAACCUUCAAAUAGCUGAAAGGAUCCUGACCAGAGCUCAAAAUCAACCACCUUUAAUUCUUAGUGCUUCCCAUGGACAAAUACGGAUUGAGAAGCCCAAUAAUCUGACUCAGAACAACGUUUUGGACCAGCAGUUCAGUGUUCCGUCUGUUACAGUAACACUAUUCUUGCAAAACUUUAAUUGAAAGUAAGUCCAGUUAAUUUUUGCAAACAUA
rnacentral:lncRNA from 1 species